UCCAGAUAAGGAGCGGAAACAUAAUUAUGGAACUAAUUCAUACCAGACGGUACACAGUUGGCUGAAAAUUAAAUGUCUUAUAUUGCUGCCUAUUGGGCAACACUCAAAUGCCUGCAGCAGGCCAAGAUAACUGCAGAGGGGUCCAUCCUUCAUAGGGCAGUUUCAUUUGGUUCAAGACCCAUGACGAGUGUAACUGGCUUGUGAUCGGAAUUUAAGGUUUCUACGGACUCAAUGUAAAUGGGUACAACUUGGGCUGUUAUGGCCGUUAUGGCUGCCAGGGACUGUUUGUGCGUGGGGAGAGGCAUCUGUCGGUAAUCAUUUGAAACUCUAUCCCCAAACGUUCAAGUGGCAAAGAGUUUCAUUCAUGGGCGAUUCGUGGUCGCAGAUAUAGGGCAAUAUAAAUUGGGGUGCAACAUUUUGAAAGAGUGUGUAUAAAGUAGUUGAUUGUGUUGUGUCAGUGUCGUGAGAUCUUUGGAUCAGAUUUGGUCGGAUGUGUGGGACGUACCUGACGCCGAUUGUGCGUCUCUCUGUCCUGGUUGGGAUUUUACUGCUGCGACUUCAAAAGCUGUAAAGUGAGCACAGCAUCGAUCUCUUCCCGGAGACGUUCCUGUAUAUCCUGGUGCAAUGAUAGCUCGUAC